CGGUUAAAAAGGCUCGUAGUUGGAUCUCGGCGGGCAGGGGGUGGUUCGCUCUUCAGCGCUACUGCCCCGCUUUGCCCGUGUGAUUGGCGGAGGUUCGGGGUGCUCUUCGUUGAGUGACUCGGAGCGCCGUCAGGUUUACUUUGAAAAAAUUAGAGUGCUCAAAGCAGGCUUUUCACGCUUGAAUAUUCGUGCAUGGAAUAAUGGAAUAGGAACUCGUUUCUAUUUUGUUGGUUUUCGGAAAUCGAGUUAAUGAUUAACAGGGACAAUUGGGGGCAUUAGUAUUCAGACGACAGAGGUGAAAUUCUUGGACCGUCUGAAGACUGACUACUGCGAAAGCAUUUGCCAAGAGUGUUUUCAUUAAUCAAGAACGAAAGUUAGAGGUUCGAAGGCGAUCAGAUACCGCCCUAGUUCUAACCAUAAACGAUGCCAGCUAGCGAUCUGCCGAGUUUUUUUUGUAGGCUCCGCAGGAAGCUUUCGGGAAACCAAAGCUUUUGGGUUCCGGGGGAAGUAUGGUUGCAAAGCUGA
rnacentral:rRNA from 1 species